rnacentral:rRNA from 1 species
AUUGAACGCUGGCGGCAUGCUUUACACAUGCAAGUCGAACGGUAACAGGCCGCAAGGUGCUGACGAGUGGCGAACGGGUGAGUAAUGCAUCGGAACGCGCCCAGUCGUGGGGGAUAACUACUCGAAAGAGUAGCUAAUACCGCAUACGAUCUAUGGAUGAAAGCGGGGGACCGUAAGGCCUCGCGCGAUUGGAGCGGCCGAUGUCAGAUUAGGUAGUUGGUGGGGUAAAGGCUCACCAAGCCAACGAUCUGUAGCUGGUCUGAGAGGACGACCAGCCACACUGGGACUGAGACACGGCCCAGACUCCUACGGGAGGCAGCAGUGGGGAAUUUUGGACAAUGGGCGCAAGCCUGAUCCAGCAAUGCCGCGUGCAGGAAGAAGGCCUUCGGGUUGUAAACUGCUUUUGUACGGAACGAAACGGCUCUGGUUAAUACCCGGGGCUAAUGACGGUACCGGAAGAAUAAGCACCGGCUAACUACGUG